CGUAGCCACGGUCCAAAUCAAAACACUACAUCGCGUAAAAUCCCCGAGCGUAUAUUUAAAUAACAAUACGAGAAAUACUCAUGCAUAUAUAUAUAUAUAUAUAAAUGUAUAUAUACCGUGCAUAUAAAGCUGUGCUCUGCGAAGACACUGCCACCCUUUCACCAAAUAUUUCAUCCUGUUUAUCGCAGAACUUUAGGCCACAUGCAUAGCGUGGUAUCUACUGCGCCUGCGCCUGUUUGGGUAGACGUUGUCCUUUUUUCCGCUGCCAUUACUUCACCAUUGACGCUCCCCCCUCAUGUCGUGCUCUGAAAUUGGGGUACUGGCAUUUCUUUUGAAAUCGAUAUUCAGCACAUUCGCUUUAGUAUAAUGUUUACAACAAGGCGGCACUAAAAUGGAUGAGCUUGGCGUGGCGCCACAAAGCCAAAAGGCUUUGCCACAAAGUGUCCUUCAAAAUCUGUGGUCAGGAGUACAAGAGCCGAAGGUCCGAUAUAUCCGUGUUGCACAUAUAACUCUUAGCAACACCGCUACUAAAUUCAGUACGAAUGAGACGGGAUAACUGUUGUGCAGAUUAGUUCAUGGCCGGAAUUUUCUGAAAUCUGUUAUAUGAAUAUCCUACUAAAUUAUAGUGUACCUUCGAAGCUUAGUUAAUGAAAACAGUGACAAGAAGUUGAUUCAGUUCUUAUAUCGACUCACAGCUGGACUAUCCACCAGAGAAUCGUAAAAUAAGCUUCUAUAUAUAACUCGCACUCGUACAAAGUUAUAUGGAGUUUUUUUUUGUGAGCAAAUAAAACGCCGUUUUGUAAUUCAAAUAAAUGUCGCUAUUUCCAAUGUAUAAGAUAUUGUAUUAUAUAUAUAAAUUUCAUUCUUCACGACUUUAUUUCGUUACAAUACUUUUAUUUCGUUAAUUGUUUUAUUAAUAUAUAAUAUUUCAAGCGAAGACUACAUAGGUAAACAAGUACAAAAAAAAACAUUGUGUAGAGAAUAAUUUAGACAAUAUUACAUAGUUUGAAAACAAAUGAAACUGAAAAAAUGAAUAAAUAUUAACAAAUUCCGCAAGCUUGAAUGUUCUACAGUUAUGCUAAUCAUAGCUUUAAACCAUUUGCAUUAACUAUGUAUUACAUUUUAAAACCUCAAACUACGUCCGCACAUCAAAAUUAAUUUGAGAUAAGCAUUUUUGCGACCUCAGACCAGCUCAAUUGUGCUGCGAUUACGAAUAGGGUGUGCGCGGAUUGACGUUGAUCAUUUCCGUAGUACUGAAAUGCAAAAUGUAUAAUAAAUUGUACUUUAUCUGAAAA